rnacentral:rRNA from 1 species
AGCUCCAAUAGCGUAUAUUAAAGUUGUUGCGGUUAAAAAGCUCGUAGUUGGAUUUCUGUGAAGGACGGCCGGUCCGCAUUUUGUGCGUGUAUCUGGCACGGCCUUUACAUCCUCUUGUGGAACGUUGCGGUGCUUAAUUGCAUUGUGCGGAAUGCAAGACUUUUACUUUGAGGAAAUUAGAGUGUUCACGGCAGGCAUGCGCCUUGAAUAUAUUAGCAUGGAAUAAUAACAUAGGCUCCUCGCCCUAUUUUGUUGGUUUCUAGAGCGAAGAGAAUGGUUAAUAGGGAUAAUUGGGGGCACUCGUACUAGAGCGUCAGAGGUGGAAUUCUUAGAUUGCUCUAUGACGAACUACUGCGAAAGCAUUUGCCAAGGAUGUUUUCA